rnacentral:rRNA from 1 species
GGGGGGCAACCCCCUGAUUAGAGCGGCGCACGGGUGAGUAACGCGUGGGUAACCUACCCCCAGGCGGGGGAUAACUACUCGAAAGGGUGGCUAAUACCGCAUGCAGACCACGGGAUCUUCGGAUCCAGAGGCCAAAUAUCGCACCGGCUUGCCGGUGCUGUCACCAGGGGAUGGGCCCGCGUCCGAUGAGCUAGUUGGUGAGGUAAUGGCUCACCAAGGCUCCGAUCGGUAGCUGGUCUGAGAGGAUGAUCAGCCACACUGGAACUGAAACACGGUCCACACUCCUACGGGAGGCACCAGUGAGGAAUAUUGCGCAAUGGGGGAAACCCUGACACAGCAACGCCGCGUGGGUGAAGAAGGCCUUCGGGUUGUAAAGCCCUUUCGGACGGGAUGAACGCUCCGCGGUGACAAGCCGCGGAGUCUGACGGUACCGUAGGAAGAAGCACCGGCUAACUCCGUGCCAGCAGCCGCGGUAAUACGGAGGGUGCGAGCGUUAUUUGGAAUUACUGGGCGUAAAGCGUGUGUAGGCGGCCUUGCAAGUCAGGCGUGAAAGCCCUCGGCUUAACCGGGGAAGUGCGUCUGAAACUCGCUUGGCUUGAGUACGGGAGAGGGAGGCGGAAUUCCCAGUGUAGAGGUGAAAUUCGUAGAUAUUGGGAGGAACACCGGUGGCGAAAGCGGCCUCCUGGACCGAUACUGACGGUGAGACGCGAAAGCGUGGGGAGCAAACAGGAUUAGAUACCCUGGUAGUCCACGCGGUAACCGAUGGGCAUUAGGUGUGGGGGGUAUCCACUCCUCCCGUGCCGAAGCUAACGCAUU